UACGAGUGCCCCAAGCGUUAUCCGGAAUCAUUGGGCGUAAAGGGUGUGUAGGUGGUCUGUUUAGUCUCUUGUCAAAUUCUUCGGCUCAACCGGGGGUCCGCAAGGGAAACGGGCAGACUAGAGGAUGUGAGGGGUCAGUGGAACUCAUGGAGUAGGGGUGAAAUCCGUUGAUAUCAUGGGGAACACCAAAAGCGAAGGCAACUGACUGGCGCAUUCCUGACACUGAAACACGAAAGCGUGGGUAGCGAACUGG
rnacentral:rRNA from 1 species